ACUAUCAGGUGAGCUAGCUAGGUUUCAUGCGGACUUUUAAUCCGCAGGUCCCAGGUUCGAGCCCUGGUGGGGGCACCA
rnacentral:tRNA from 1 species